rnacentral:rRNA from 1 species
UACGAAGGGUGCAAGCGUUACUCGGAAUUACUGGGCGUAAAGCGUGCGUAGGUGGUUCGUUAAGUCUGAUGUGAAAGCCCUGGCUCAACCUGGGAAUGGCAUUGGAAACUGGCGACCUAGAGUGCGGUAGAGGGCAGUGGAAUUCCCGGUGUAGCAGUGAAAUGCGUAGAGAUCGGGAGGAACAUCUGUGGCGAAGGCGACUGCCUGGACCAGCACUGACACUGAGGCACGAAAGCGUGGGGAGCAAACAGG